GAAAGCCGAAUGAAUCGAAAGGUUCCUGUCCGGUUUGGAGCCGGGGAAAAGCUAGAGGUGCGACAAGAUGUCGCUUGAAUAUAGUGUAAUAUAUUUACUGAAC
rnacentral:autocatalytically_spliced_intron from 1 species